rnacentral:rRNA from 1 species
UACGAAGGGGGCUAGCGUUGCUCGGAAUGACUGGGCGUAAAGGGCGCGUAGGCGGCUUGCACCGUCAGAUGUGAAAUUCCUGGGCUUAACCUGGGGGCUGCAUUUGAUACGUGUGGGCUUGAGUGCGGAAGAGGGUUGUGGAAUUCCCAGUGUAGAGGUGAAAUUCGUAGAUAUUGGGAAGAACACCGGUGGCGAAGGCGGCGACCUGGUCCGUGACUGACGCUGAGGCGCGAAAGCGUGGGGAGCAAACGGG